rnacentral:rRNA from 1 species
AGCGAACGCUGGCGGCAGGCUUAACACAUGCAAGUCGAACGCCCCGCAAGGGGAGUGGCAGACGGGUGAGUAACACGUGGGAACGUACCCUUUGGUUCGGAAUAACUUGGGGAAACUCAAGCUAAUACCGGAUAAGCCCUUAUGGGGAAAGGUUUACUGCCGGAGGAUCGGCCCGCGUCUGAUUAGCUAGUUGGUGAGGUAAUGGCUCACCAAGGCGACGAUCAGUAGCUGGUCUGAGAGGAUGAUCAGCCACACUGGGACUGAGACACGGCCCAGACUCCUACGGGAGGCAGCAGUGGGGAAUAUUGGACAAUAGGGGCAACCCUGAUCCAGCCAUGCCGCGUGAGUGAUGAAGGCCUUAGGGUUGUAAAGCUCUUUUACCCGGGACGAUAAUGACUGUACCGGGGAGAAUAAGCCCCGGCUAACUUCGUGCCAGCCGCCGCUGUAA